CGAUGUUCUCCGCGGAAGAAGACUUCGGAGACGAGGAAGAGGAGUUGGCGGAUCAGUGCCGCAUCUGCCGCCUCCCCGCCGGGCCGGGCCGCCCCCUGCGCCGCCCCUGCGCCUGCCGCGGCAGCAUCAGGUUCGUCCACGACGACUGCCAGCUCCGGUGGAUCGCCACCCGCGGAAAAACCCCGCUGCGAGGUGUGCAACCGCGGCAUCUCCACCCAACUUCUCUACGCCAGGAACGCACCUGCGAGGCUGCCCAUUUCUGAGUUCAUAGUGGGCUUGCCGGACAAGCUCACUGGUCUGCUGCUCCCACUCAUCUUCGCUGCCUGCGUCGUGCCGGAAUUCACCAUUCACAUCGGGACCCUCUGGUCAUGGCGCCUCGCGCUUGCUAGGUCCUUUGAUGAAGCACACUACCUGCUCUCACUCCGCCUCUCUACCGCCUCCGCCCUCGGUUUGUUCGCGCUCUGGGUCGCAUUUGCACAUGAGUAUGUGCCGUUUGCUGUAGCUCCAUUUUCGCACUGGGUUGCACGCCUGGAUGCUCGGCGCCAGGGGUUUGGAGGAUUUGAUGGCUCGCAAAUACUUGCGCUAUUUGCCGUCGAGGCGUUCUUGGUGGUGGUGAUGUUCGACCUGGCCCUUGCUUGUGUUUUGGUGUUUCUCCCAUUCUCUUUGGGAAGGAUCGUCCUAUGGUGCAUAUCGUGUUCCGAUUCUUGCAAUGCGGGUGAAUUCAACUCCUACACUUCGACAGCUUCCGUCCUUCUAACUGGAUACGGGUUUAUCAUUUCUGUGGGUGUAAUUUAUGCCGGGCUGUACAUUUUUGGCCAAUACUUGAGGGGGAAGCGCCUUGUGAUCGCAGCUUUCAUUACAAGUCUGUCUGGUAUAUUCCUCACAGGGAUCACAUGUUUUACCAGUGUUGCCAGUUUUUGUCUUAAUGCCCUGCACGGACUUAUAAUAUACCCGCUCUUCUUUGGCUGGUCGCUCGAUAUCUGCACUUCAAAAAUGUUGGGUGCAACAAUGUCUCAAAGGUUGGAACUUAUGUUUGCUUCAUCUUUUGCUUCAACUGCUCUUCAUUGUCUUAUUGGAUUCGAAUUUUUGUAUCUACACGGCCUAUGGUCCACACUUCUUCACAAGAUAUUCAGGCCAGGAGUUGCCAUUCCCACUUUCGACUAUGAUAUUAACAUCGACGAACCAUUCUACAAAUUUUAUUUCAACAAGCCUCAUCAUCUUCUGCAUGGCAUUCUCUAUAUGGCUGCGGUUAUUUUUGUUCCUGUUCAGAUUGCUGAUCGUUUGGCACCAGAAUUGUUCCCAUUAAAUCUCACUUGGCCUGCUGAGAGCUUAUCAUUUUGGCAAGCACCACGAAAAGUUGGCGAUUCACUUUCUCGUGUUCUUCUUCUGAGGUUUCUCAUCGACGAAACUUAUAUGCCAAAUUAUACUGUGUUGCUAGUGAAGAAGAUAAGUCGGUAUUCGGUUGCCACUAAUGUGGUGCUUGCAUGGUUGACUGGUGUGAUAUUCAAUUUGGCUUUGCUUAUUUUUCCAAUAUCAAUUGGGCGUGCCUUGUUUGCCAUCACCCGGCUGCCAGUAGCAGCUGGAUUGAAAUCCAAUGGUAAUGAUUCUUCAGAGAAAUCUUUG
rnacentral:rRNA from 1 species